rnacentral:lncRNA from 1 species
ACUGAAGGAGCCUGCAGCACUCAAAGCCAGGAAGGCAAAUCACAGCCCAGGCAGCCGCGAGUGCCUUGGAGAGGAGAUCGACUGAUGUCAGCUGGAAACCGGUUACAGCUGAGUCUCUCUGGAUAACCACUGCACCCCCAGACUGCUGGCCUCCCUGGAGCACUACUGAUCUACUAGGACACUUUGCUCCACUGGUUGAACGAAGGUCACUUGGUUGCUCUCCUCAAGACCAUGGAUGUGCAUCUGUUUGACUAUGUGGAACCUGGGAACUACUCGGACAUCAACUGGCCCUGUAACAGUAGCGACUGCAUCGUCGUGGACACCGUGCAGUGUCCCGCCAUGCCCAACAAGAAUGUGCUGCUGUAUACCCUCUCCUUCAUCUACAUUUUCAUCUUCGUGAUCGGUAUGAUUGCCAACUCCGUGGUGGUCUGGGUGAAUAUCCAGGCCAAGACUACAGGCUACGACACACACUGCUACAUCUUGAACCUGGCCAUUGCCGAUCUGUGGGUCGUCAUCACCAUCCCUGUCUGGGUGGUCAGUCUCGUGCAGCAUAACCAGUGGCCCAUGGGUGAGCUCACGUGCAAGAUCACACACCUCAUUUUCUCCAUCAACCUCUUUGGGAGCAUCUUCUUCCUCGCAUGCAUGAGCGUGGACCGCUAUCUCUCCAUCACCUACUUCACCAGCACCUCCAGCUAUAAGAAGAAGAUGGUACGCCGUGUUGUCUGCGUCUUGGUGUGGCUGCUGGCCUUCUUUGUGUCCCUGCCUGACACCUACUACCUGAAGACGGUCACAUCUGCUUCCAACAACGAGACCUACUGCAGGUCCUUCUACCCCGAGCACAGCAUCAAGGAGUGGCUCAUUGGCAUGGAGCUGGUCUCCGUCAUCUUGGGUUUUGCUGUCCCCUUCACCAUCAUUGCUAUCUUCUACUUCCUGCUCGCCAGAGCCAUGUCAGCAUCCGGUGACCAGGAGAAACACAGCAGCCGGAAGAUCAUCUUCUCCUACGUGGUGGUCUUCCUGGUGUGUUGGCUGCCGUACCAUUUUGUGGUUCUGCUGGACAUCUUC